CAGCAGCCACGGGAAAACGGAGGGUGCAAGCGUUAUCCGGAUUUAUUGGGUUUAAAGGGUCCGUAGGCGGAUCUGUAAGUCAGUGGUGAAAUCUCACAGCUUAACUGUGAAACUGCCAUUGAUACUGCAGGUCUUGAGUAAAUUUGAAGUGGCUGGAAUAAGUAGUGUAGCGGUGAAAUGCAUAGAUAUUACUUAGAACACCAAUUGCGAAGGCAGGUCACUAAGAUUUAACUGACGCUGAUGGACGAAAGCGUGGGGAGCGAACAGGAUUAGAUACCCCCGUAGUCCCUGUCUCUUAUAC
rnacentral:rRNA from 1 species